AACUGUGUAUGUGUAUUUGUAUGUGUGUCUCUCAUUAAAGGAAUGGCUUGGCUAAGUUCAAGUUUCAUGACCAAAAGGUUGGCCACCGGUUGAUAAAUAUUUUUAGACUUAGAAAUUCAUGGAGAAGCUCCACUAAAGCAUUAAGGGGUUACCAUCACCAUGGUGGAAGGAAUUUCCAAUAGAGAUGAAUCAGAGUUCUUUUGGGUCAAUUGAAGAUAUUUAAUAACCUCCAGAGUUGAAAGAAUUAAGGGCUCAAGUUUAUAAAACUUAACACAUUGCUAAUUUUCCCCAUCCUUGAAUGUCAGCACCACAGUUUGAUUCCUCUAAUAUUAAUAUUAGAAGCUAAAUCUAUUAUUAAAUUUUACUUCUUCAGGAGUAAGAACUGGAAUGCCAAACAAGUCAUACUCUUAUUCAUCCAUGUUUUGGUUCCCAAUCUAGAGCAAGUCUUCUCCCUCCAAAAAAUAUGUGGGAAGCUCCCAUUUUGUAUUCAAAUAAAGAUGUUUGCUCUUGUUUAAAGUAAAAAGGUUAAUGGAUUUGGUAAUAAGGUAGUAUACUUCUAUCAUUCAACCAAAACUGCUCACUUCCAAAUUACUAAUGAUCUCUAGAUUACCAUGUCUAAUGGCCUCUUUGGAAUCUUCAUCCUUCUUGAUUUCUCUGUAAUAUUUGUCACUGUUGACCAUCCUCUCCUCCUGGAUAUUUUCUCUUUCUGUUUUUGUGAUGCUACUGUCUCUUAGUUCUUCUCAUCUCUGUCUAAUCCCUCCUUCUUAGUCUCCUUUGCUAGUUCAUCUACCAAGUUUUGUUCAUUUGCCGUAGGUGUGCCCUCUUUUCUUCCUCUACUAUCUCACUUGGUAAUUUUAUCAACAACCAUUGAGUCAAUGAUCAUCUUUAUGCCAAUGACUCCUAGACAGACAGACAGACAGAUAGAUAGACAGACAGAUUGAGUUGAAAUAAGAUAAGAAAAAAUGACAUAUCGGUAUCUAUCAAUCUCUCUUUCUUGGGCUCCAGUACCACAUCUCAAUGGUCUGUUGAACAUUUAGAAAAGGAUCUCUUGUAGACUCAACAUACUCAAAACAAAAUUUUUUAUUUUUACCCCCAAAACUUACUACUUUGCAGAACUCUUACAACUGUCAAAGUUACCAAUGUCCUUCUAGUCACUGAGAUUCACAAUGUUGAUAUUAUUUUUGCUCCUCACAUAUCCAACUAGUUGUCUAGUCUUGUUUCUAUCUCUUCAAUAUGUCUCAUAUAUGUAUUCUUCUCUACUCUUCAAUGACCUCUAUCUUAAUUCAAGGCAUUUAAUGCCUCUUGCAUGGGAUACAGCAAUCCUAUUAGGUCUUAUCACCUCUAGUCUUUCCCCAUUCCAAUCCAUCUUCCAAAUAGUUGAUCAAAGUGAUUUUAUUUUACUAAAGUGUUUUCUGACCAUGUCAUGCCCCUAUUCAGUAAUCCCAAGUGCCUUCCUGGGAUCAAAUAUAAAAUAUUCUGCCUUGCAUUUAAUAUUCUUUAUAACCUGAUUCUUUCCUACCUUUCCAGCCUUCUCACACAUUUCUCUCCUUCAUACACCCUACGUCUUGUCAUACUGUUCUACAUGCUAUUUUAUCUCCCAUUCCUGCAUCUUUGCAUUGGCUGCCUCUCGUGGCUGGAAUCCUCUCCUUUCUCACCUCCACCUCAUACAAUCCUUGAUUUCCUUCAGCACCCAGUUCAAGUACCACCUUCUACACAAAGCCUUUAUUGAUUCUGCCCCGCCCCCCCACUUCAGGUGACAGAGGUCUCUUCCAAAUUACCUUGUUUUUAUUUUUCAUAUGUGUAUUCUGUAUAUGCUUAUAUAUUUUCACGUUGCCUGCUUUAUUAGAAGAUAAGCUACUUGAGGAUGAAUGAUUUCACUUUUGUCAACAUUCCUACUUAGCCCCUUUUUCUGCACUUAAUAAAAUACUUGUUGAUGGAUUAUACUGACCAUUAUGUAGUGUCUUUAUGUUUGCAAAGUGCUUUACCUAAAUUAUCUUCCUUGACUCUGACAAGUCUGUGUAAGCAGAGAUUAUUGAUUUUGUUCUUUACAUUUUACAGAUGAAGUUUAAAAAGAAUUUGGGACUUUCUUGGAGUCCUGCAGCUGGUGAGCACCAGCACCUUAGACCUCAGAUCUUCCUGAUUCCAAAUCACCCUAUCUACACUGCCUCUCUAAAGAGCAUGACCUGGACUCAGGUUCAGGAAGAUCUGUGUUCAAAUCUGAAUUUAAACUCUGAAAGACUGUAAAACCCUAGAUGUCAUUUAACCACUCUCAGCCUCAAUUUCCUUAUCUGUAAAAUUAGAAUAUUAAAAUUUAGAGUAUUUUACUUCCACAGGUUUUAGGGCUGAAAGGAGAUGAUGCAAGAGGAUAUGAGGUGCCUUGCAAACCUUGAAGCUCUAUUUAAAUGUCAGUCAUUAUCCUCUUAAAUGAAAAUGUUCAUCAUUCUUUGGACCAACUGCUCUAGCUGAGAUGUUGAAGGGAGUAUGAAAAUAUCCAAGGUGCUCAUAAGAUAUUCUUCUUCUUGUCUUCAUGUUUUAAUUAAGAUAAGAUUAACAUAUGUGAAAGGGUCACAUCCCUGAUGGCCAUCUCGUCUUCCUCCUCCUCCUAAACCCUUAUCUUUUGCUUUUGAAUCAAUACGUCCUUGCUAUGUGCCCCUGGGCAAGUCACUUACCCUCCAUUGCCUAGACCUUACUGCUCUUCUAUCUUAGAAAUGAUAUUGAGACAGAAGGUAAGGGUUUAAAAAAAAUCAAACAUUUAUCCCCCAUGUCUGAAAAACUGAUGGAUGUUAUGGAUCCUGAUUGAUUUCUGGGUUGCUAUGAUGUCCUGGAAAAGGAAGGGAAGAAUAGCAGAAUGUCUUCUAAUAUAUAAUUGUUUAGUUCAGACAAAAUAUCUUAGUAGGUGCUAUUUCUUCCUAAAUUGAAGGUUGCUAAUCUUCAUUGUAUCAUGGAUUCCUCUGGUGGACUAUGAACCGCCUCUCAGAAUAUUGUUUUUAAUGACAAAAUAAUUACAAAAGAAAUCAAUUAUGUUGAAAUAAGUUACCAAAAAAAAUUUAAUUCACAGAUCACCUCCCACCCCAGUAUAGGAGCCCUAGUUAAGGGAUUCUCUGUCUAAAUAUCUCUAGUUUUUAGAACUGUAGCUAUCUUUUUCUCCCUAGAACAUUUUUUCUAUCUGUGACAAGAAUAAUUGUUGAGAUGGGGAACAAUUAAAAAAAAGUCAGAGGAGCAAGGCAGACAGGGAAACCUGCCUGAUUCAGGGAAGAGGGAGGGAAGAAAGCUGCAUAUACAGAGGGCAGUUUGUCUACAUUGAUAGAGGGGCUAACCAAUUCCUUCCUUCUUCCCCAUCCUCUUCUGGCCUAUGUUCUUGCUCCCUCACCUGGAACAGUAGAAGGCUCUUCCCAUAUCCUCUUCCCCUAUGAUCCCUGCCGAGGUGUUGGCUGGUGACCAUUGCAGAGAAGAAGCAUGCUUCCCCACCCCCAAAGAGAAAGUACUUCCCCCAGAUGUAAGCAACCUGGGAAAAAGCCAUAGCUACCCUGCCCUAGUUAUGGCUGCACUCAGUUGUCCCCAAACUCCAGCUCUUCUUCCAUUUAUAUUCAUUUUUACCAACAGACUAUUCACUUUUAGUUCUGUAAAGAGCAAAGGGAAAAAAGUAGAUUCACAAUUGAUUGCUUACUAGAAUCCAAAUUCCCUUUAUUUGCACCUUUCUUCUUGGUAGGUCUUUUAGAAUGGGAAGUUUAGCUUAGACUGAAAGCUCCAUCAUUAGACAACCCAGAGUGGAGAAAAGAGCCAAGUCCCUUGAAAGAAUCAAAUUGACAUUCUUAUAUUUGGAAAAUCCUUCCUCCUCUUUGGGUUGGUCCUGAGGAGCCAGUUAAUAGUUUGUUUUGCUUUCUUUCUUCCGAGCAGCAUGUUUCCCGAUGAAUUUUCCACUGGUAUAGCCUACCUGUUUGUCUCCAAGAAUAAGCACUGGGUUCUUAUCACCAGGGGACCUGGAAGGCCUCCCCCCACUUCCCUUGGGGGCCACUCCAUUUCCAUUACAGUAUCACUUUCAGAAUGAUUCGAUUUUUUGUGCAUUUUGAGAUUCGUAAUUGGCUAAAAGGUCCUCUGUCCAGGAUCUAAAUAUAGAAUGAUCUUUUGUGGGACUUUGCUGUCCAGACCUCAUGUUCCUUAUAACUGGUAGAGAGUGAGAUCAGCCUUUAUCAUAAGAAUAUAGUUUUAUUUGGGGCUGGAAGGUUGUCUGAUCUAACAACUUUGUUGUAUAGGUAAGCCCAGAGAAAUUCAAAUGCUUUGCCUAAGGUAAAAAAGGUAGUAAAGAGCACAGCUUAUUAACCAGGCCCUCCUCCAAGUCCGGCACAUUUUCCAUUACUGUACUAUUAUGACUGGCCUGAUCAUGGGACUCCAUUUUCUCUGACCUGGGCUUGUACAUUGCCAGAAAAAAAGAUUUGAAUGUAUUUAUGCUCAUUCAUUCAUUGAGUAAAAAACCUAUCAAGUGUCUUCUACUCAGAGAACACUGGGCUAAGUCUAGAAGGCUUGUUAAACUAAGGCAAAAUAUUUCCCUGCCCUCUUGAAGCUUGGUCUAGUGGAGUAACUAUUGUUCUUUCUGUCUCUCUCUCUCUUUCUUUUUCUUCUCUCUCUUUCUCUUCCUUCUGUUUUCUUUCUUUUUGUUUGUUUGUUUGUUUCUUUCUUUCUCUUUCUUUCCCUUUCUUCCAUCCCUUAUUUUCCAUCUUAGAGUCAACACUGUGUGUUGGUUCUAAGGCAGAAGAGUGGAAAGGGGUAGGCAAUGAGGGUUAAGUGACUUGUCUAGGGUCACACAGCUAGGAAGUGUCUGAGGCCAAAUUUGAACCUCAGACCUUCCAUCUCUAGGCUUGGCUCUCAAUCCACUGAGCUACCCAGCUACCCCCUCAUCUUUUAUUUUAAAGAGGACCAGUAACAUCACGGGAUGAUAUCUUGACCUGCCAAUGAACUGGACUCAAGUGAGGAAGAGUUGCACAAAAUCACCAACUUCACUUAGUCCUCCAGAUCCAGGGGUGAGACAAAAGUCAGGACGACUGACGAUGGUCCUCAAUGCAGUAAUGACCUGGGUGUCUUCAAUGUCUGACCAGCACCCUAAGCACUCUACAGCACCUGCUUCAGUCAUCUUCAUGGCCACUGGAACAAAUCAUUCUCAUCUCAUCCAUUCUGUGGGGGAAAGUCUUCACGUGCUUGUGAGAGAUACUCCCCUAACUCACUGACAGGUUUGAGGUCUACUGGUGGCCCUCAACCUGGCUGGAGUACAUGGCGUGUCUCUGGUGUGAGGAUUUGCCAAACCCUUUCCAGGGUUGCUCAUCCACCUUUGGUGUCCAUCUGUCAUUUAUUUCUCACCUGUGGCUUCAAGAAGCUGUAGCUCAUGCAAUGGCCACAUCCCCAUGAAACCAUUUUGGAAGGUGAGUUAAGUCGAGGGAUUAGAUAGGCAUUGGUAUCUGUAGUACACAAUAUUGUGUGAUAAGAACAUUAGAGUGCUAUAAAUUAAAGUAUUAUGUGAAGUCAGAGGUAAAAAGUUUUAACUGAAUAAAUAAGCUUAUGGAAGACUUUUUGAGAAGGUGGCAUCUGGUGGGGGGUUAAAGAACAAGUAGGAACUCAAUGGAUAAAGAGGGGGUGGAGAAGCUAUUCUAGGCAUAAGAAACAGGUUACCAGGUCCACCAGGAAACUGACUCACAGCAAUCUGCAGACUCCCAACCUGCCCUCAGGCCUUCCAACUAAUAGUAGUUCCGCCUAGCAGUAGGUCUUUUAGCCAAAUAAUUUUCAUAUAGGUGAGAUAAUUUUCAUACAAGUAUAACUUAUUCAGCUUGAGACAUUUAUUAAGCUCAAAAGGUUCUUAACUUUUUGUAUGACAUCGAUCCCUUUGGCAAUUUGAUGAAGCCUAUGGACCCCUUCUCAGAAUCAUGUUCUUAAAUGCCCAAUACAAAAUGCAUAGAAUUACAAAGAAAGUUCUGUUAAAUUACAGGAUUACAGUGAAAUAGUUAUCAAAGUCUUUUUUCAAAAGUUCAGAGAACCAUGGUUAGGUGGCUUACUAGGUACUGUCCAUGCAAUGGCAAAACCAAAAUCAUCUCUGCCAUAUAAUAUUGGAGGGAGAAAAUAUGGGCACAGAUCAGUAAAUGUGAGCUACUGACAAAAGGAAUGCCAAGAUAUGUUGGGGUCAAGGGGAUGAAUAAUUUUGAAAUAUGGAUGGGAGGUAUUUUGUUGGAAAUGAGUGUAUAAGGCAGGAUUUUGGGUUUUUUCUUUCUCUUUACUUUUUUUUUUUGCUUCUUAAAUUUUUUCUUUACUUUUCCACACCCAACAAAUAAUAUCACAGUGGAAUCUUAUAUUCUUUUUUUUUUUAAACCCUUACCUUCCGUCUUGGAGUCAAUACUGUGUAUUGGCUCCAAGGCAGAAGAGUGGUAAGGGCUAGGCAAUGGGGGUCAAGUGACUUGCCCAGGGUCACACAACUGGGAAGUGUCUGAGGCCAGAUUUGAACCUAGGACCUCCCAUCUCUAGGCCUGGCUCUCAAUCCACUGAGCUACCCAGCUGCCCCUGGAAUCUUAUAUUCUUUACCACUUUCAGUUUGUAAAUAUUCUAGGACUGAGAUGUCUCAAUUGCAUGACAUAUCUUUUUUAAUUGCUGUUCUUUUUUCUUGCCUUGUUACUAGUUUUGCACAAUUUUGAGAUAACUUCCACGUCUUUAGCAAAGUCUUUUCCAUCUGAAGGAUAGUAAUGUUCAUGUAAGAUGGGUGUGUUCCCCUGGAUUGUCUAAAGGUAUAGAUUCGGCUUGCAGAUGGCACAGACAAAUAUCUCUGGAAUCUGGCCCACCCCUCUCAAAAGAGACUAUAAUUUCUGCCUUGAGGGGAGAAAGAGAAGAAUCAUGGCUUGGCACUUACUGCUUCCCUCAUCCAUCUCUAAGAAUGGUAACAGUCUAGAAUUAUUCAUCUAUUUUCUUAAAUAUUGUUAGUAGAGGGAUUUGAAUCUGGUUCAGAAGGAAAGCUGCUUCCCUGGUUGCUUCUAAAGGGGAGAGAAGCCCUUGUUUUUUUCUGGCCAACCUAACUCCUUCCUUUCCAAUGAAUCCUGGUUACAAAAAACUACCAUAGUAAAUAGGAAAAAAGAGAACAAACUCAUUCAUGCAAAUGAAAUGGUGAAAGGAAACUAAUCCACAGAUUAGAAUGUACUAGAAAAGGGAGCAGCUGGGUAGCUCAGUGGAUUGAGCCAGACCUAGAGAUGGGAGGUCCUAGGUUCAAAUCUGACCUCAGACAUUUCCCAGCUGUGUGACCCUGGGCAAGUCACUUAACCCCCAUUGCCUAGCCUUUAGUGCUCUUCUACACUGGAACUAAUACACAAUGUUGAUUCUAAGACAGAAAAUAAGGGUUAAAAAAAAAAGUGCACCAGAAAUAUUUGUGUGGAGUAACUCUCAUAGAGCAAGACAGAGACACAGAGAAAGAGAAACAGAGGAUAGGGGGCAGGAGUAGGGUGAGAAGGAAAGACUAUCCUCACCCAAUGAAGUCCAUUCUAGCAAUCUCAAGGGAGGCAUGCUGGAAAUCAGGAACAUGGUAGGAGUCAGCUUCCCCUAUAUACCUAUAGUUUGGAACCACAUCCAUCUCCCAGGCAAGUGUGGCGGCUGCUCUUCUCUUUACACAUGAAUUGUGUCAUUUAAUGCUUUGCAUUCUCUUUAGCAAUCCAGAGUCAUGUCUCACAAAUGGCCUAGGCUUUAUUGGACACUGGUUACAUGAUCUGUCAAAAAUAAAAACUAUUGGAGGCAGUGGAUUGAGAGCCAGGUCCAGAGAUGCAAGGUCCUGGGUUCAAGUUUGACCUCAGACACUUGCUAGCUGUGGACUUUGGGCAAGUCAAGUCACUUAACCUCCAUUGCCUAGUUCUCUUGUGUCAUGGAAUCAAUACACAGUAUUAAUUCUAAAAUGGAAGGUAAAGGUUAAAAAAAAAAGGCUUUGGCCUUUCUCAUUCCUCCUCUGUGGGCUUCCCCAUAUUUUUCUCCAACUCUUUUCCUACCUUCAGUUGAAGUCACCAAGUAUGUUGACUUAAUUUGGAGGGUUUUAACAUGUUCUUUUUAUAGAAUUUCUUUGCUUCUUCAUUUGCAGCAACCUAUAUGAGUGGCUAUUGCAAUUUUGUUUCCCUUUUAAAAAAACAACAACUUUAUUUUCUGUCUUAGGAUCAAUUCCAUGUUGGAAUUAAUUCUGCCUAUUGAUUCCAAGGUAGAAGAGUGGUAAGGGCUGGGCAAUUGGAGUUAAGUGACUUACCCAGGGGCACACAACUAGGAAGUAGAUAUCUGAGUCCAGGUCCUCCUAGUUACAGGCCUGGUACCCUACCUAUCAAGUCACUUGAGCUGCCAUUAUUUGGGGGGUGUUCUUUUUUGCAAAUACUUAUCACUAGUAUUGCAACAUGUGAUGUCUAAACACCUCAUAAGAUAAUAUUUCUUUUUGCCUUUGGGCAUAUAAUAAAGUCCACUUCACCAACUUCUUUGUUUUCCUUUCCAAGGAGGGGCUAUGAGCCAUCCUGCCUUUCAGAUGCAAUUUUCUUCUGGUUUCAUUUUUUAGCAAGAAUGUCAAGAUUGCUAUGAUUCAGCUCCUCUAGCAAUAUGUCUAUUUGCUGGUCACUGGAAAAGCAUCACACAUUUAGAGUAUGAAUAAUCAAAUUAAAGUUUAUAGGCAGGCUAAAAAAUAUGUGAUUUUUAGUACUCUCUGCUCCCCUUUCCUACCACUCUGCUCCAUAGAGGUCGGAGAAUCAUUUUGUAUUUUUCAUUUGAUUCAUGGGUUGCCAUGGCCAAAUAAUCCAUCACCAGAUGGUCAGCCUACUAGUAAUGAGCCUCUCUGUACUUAGCUAGGUUGGUCUUUGGAAAACAGAUUUGGUUUGUUGCCAGGGCCAUAUUUAAAUCUUUUUCAGCAAGGUAGACUCUGCCAGAACUUACGUGCUAUUGGCAUACCCUUUGGGAGCCCAGGAUGAUCUCCACACCAAGGCAAGGCAUCAGCGUAGGACUUUAUGAGGGAUAGGGUUCCUUUCAAAACUAAAUCCUAGGAACUUCAUUCCACUGAGUCAAGAUACUUAUCUUCUCUGGGCCCCAGGCUCCUCAUCUGUAAAAUGACAAGAUGGCCUCUGAGGUCUCUUCCAGCUUGAAAUGAUCCUGUGAUCCUAGAUGACUUACUAGUGGCAAUGAAGAUCUUUUUUUUUAAACCCUUAGGUGCAAAUACCAUAGACCCACUUGGACCACUUGGACCCCACUGCCUACCCUCAGGGAAAAUCUGGUCCUGAGCAUAUAUAUCACUUAAGACCCUCAAAGUAGAACAGGAGAUAGGGAGCUUAAGGGGUUUAUUUUUUAUUUGAUUAUUCAUAACAGUUGUUCCCAUGGCAUCUCCACUUCGAAAUUUUGCUCAAAGUCAACAUGUCCAAAACUGAAUUCGUCAUUUUCUUCCUUCCUCUCACCUUACCUCACCUCAAACCAUCUUCCUCUUGACAUCCCUAUUUUUAUUAAUGGUACCUCCAUUCUUGGAGUUCCUCAAGUUCAAAACCUCAGAGUUAUCACUCCCUCUCCCAUACCCUACAUGAACAAGUCCUCUGUAGCUGUUUCCUCCUUCCCAUUCCUCCUAACCACCAUUCAAGUUUUGGCUCCUAUUACCUCUUUUCUGCCCUGUUUUAAAAGUCAUCUAAUUGAUAGUUCUACCUCCAUUUACUCCCCCCAUUCCAAGUCACCCUAUUCCCAUACUGUAAGAGAAAUCCUCUAUGUUUCUCUUACAGGAUUGUAGAUUUUAAAGCUGAAAGAAAUAUUAGAGGUCAUUUAGUCAAAUUCCCCUAUUUUGUUUUCUUGUUCAGUUUCAGUCAUGUCUGACUCUAAAUGAUCCCAUUUGCAGUUUUCUUGGCAAAAAUAUUAGAGUGGUUUACCAUUUCCUCUUCUAGCUCAUUUUAUAGAUGAGGAACGGAGGCAAAUGGCAUUAAGUGACUUGCCCAGGUUCACAUAGCUGCUAAAUGUCUAAAGCCAGAUUUGAACUCAAGAAGAUGAGUCUUCCUGACUCCAGGCCUGGCACUCUAUUCACUGUACCACCUAGCUGCCCUGCCCCACCUUGUUUUAUAAAUGUGAAAACGGAGGAAAAUGUUUUGAAGUCAAAGAGUAAGUAGUAAUCUAAAAUUUAAGCAUAGAUCUUCUGAUCCCAAAUUCAGGGCUCUGAGAAGUAUCAGUUAGGCAGCUUGUUGAAGCCCUUAAGAAAUGCCUGCUGUGUACCAGGCACUGUGCUAGACUAUGGAGAUGAAAAUGCAGAAGUCUCUGCCUCUAUACAGUGGUAAGAGCAUUAACUUGAGUCAGAGUACCUGAGUUCAAAUUCUACCUAUCAGUUAACUCCUGGGAAUCUAGGUUUCCUCAUCUAUAAAAAGAGGGAGCUGGAGAGGAUACCUCUGAAGUUCCAACUCUCUCUCAACACACACACACACACACACACACACACACACACACACACACACACACACACAAGUGUAUUAAUUUCUCCACCAAAAAAAUAUAUAGUGAUGGAGAGGAAUCGCUUAUUAUAUUGUGCCUCUUCCUAAUGUAUCCUCUGAGAUUAUUACUCUGAUCAAAAAUAUCCAAUGACUCCCUGUUACAUACCAAAUAAAGUUCCGAAUGCUUAAUUUACUACAUUUGAGGCUCACCCCAACAAUUCAACCCUACCUUUCUAACUACAGAAAGCACUCCUAUCCACUAAGCUGUACUCUGGAUAAAACCAUAUUCCUCUAUGAACACCUCAUGAGAUUCUGCUGUUUUACAGUCUUUGCUCAGUCUUCACUGUAUGAUAAAUGCUUUUGUGUGUCAAAGAUGGUCCGUAGAGUGCUCUCUGUUGGGCAUGCAUGCCACCUUACCCCCCCCCCUCCAUCCCCCCUGGAGUUUGUUACUAGAAAGACAGAGGGACUUGGGGAGCUGCUCCCCUCCCCCUCUCCAUUGUGUCUGAUUCACAUCCCCCACCCCCUCUGCCCAGCAGCCCAGUGGGAGUGCACAGGGGAUAAGAUGGGUGGCUCACAGGUGGCAGAAGUGGAGGAGAGCAGAACACUCUGGCCACUCCCAUCCCCCUCUCUACGCUUGCUGAGGACAUUCCUCACUUCACCUGCCCCACUGCCCAGCAGCCCAAUGGGAGUGCUUCCUCCCUCCCCUGUAUGAGGUAAGUGGGGCGGGGCAUGCUCAGAACUUGGUAGUGGGGGUGGGCAUGGUAUAUGGUCUCUGAAAGGUUCACCAUCAUUGUCCUAGGAUUCUGCCUGCUGGAUUCCUAUUUGACUUUCAAGGCCCAGCUCCAAUACCACCUCCUUUACAAAGGCUUGCCCCAUCCACCCACUCAGGAGCAAUGUCUCCCUUCUCUGAAAUCCUGUAGCAUUCUGUAUUUAUCUUUUUUAUGGCCUUAUCAAAUUCUGCCUUGCUUUAACCCCUAAAUUCAUAAUGGCCAGGAUUCUAAAGAAAAAAAAUGAAGGAAAAGAAUGUUUUAAAAUAUCUACAAUAAUCUAUUUUUAAUUCAACCAGGAAAAUGGAAAAAAUCUUGGUGCUUUUUAAAACUAAGUGUAAUGCUUUUCCGCAAUAUUGUAUUGAACAUCACAUCAAAUUAGACCUUUAAAGCCCAACUCAUUAUAACAUCCCUAAACUCCAACAGACUAUUGAUUCUUGCCUACUCACAGAAAAGUUGUAUCAGUGAGACAAACUUCUAUCAGUGUGGAGAGGAAGAAGGAAGAAGAGAAAGGAAAGGGAGAAGAAGAGAGAGGGGAGAGUACUAACUGAAUGACCCUGGUCAACUCACCUAACCUCAUCUGUAAACCGAAGCGUUGGUCCCUUCUAAUCCUAUAACCCUAUGAAAAGGAGUGUCGGAACUUACUGAGACCCAUAUCUCAUCCCUCUUGAAGCUAGUUUUUGCCUAGGGUUAAAACAGGUUAAAUGACAACUUUCCAUCAGUCUGUAGUGGAAACCAAUGGACAUAAAAGCCUCACUCUGAUACCCACCAUUGAUAGACAUUAGUUUAUGGAUGUCUUAUCUUCUCUUCCAAACUAUAAACUCUUUGAUGGCAGGAACCAAGUCCUGCCUCCUUCAGCAUCUCCUGCAUUGUCCUUCACAUAAUCAGGGCACUUUGUAAAUGGUUAAAUUUGCUCAUGAGACCCAGUACUGCACACAUACUUAUUCUGCUCUGCCUGGUGCUGUCCCAUGGAUUUGCUUGGGGGUCCCUUCUUCUGGGCACCGGUAACGGAGAAUCCUGCCCCCUACUUCAUUACAGGGGCAAGAAGUAUUUUGUGACUGUUUCCUGUCUGCAUACUAUACAGUGAAGAAAAGCCUUUUAAGGGUCUGGAGUCAGAAGGACUGGUUUCCAAUAUGGCCUCAGACACGUCCUAGCUGUGUGACCCUGGGCAAGUCACUUCACCUCCAUUGCCUAGCCCUUACUCCUCUUCUGCUUUGGAAUCGAUCCAUAGCAUUGCUUCUAAGAUGAAAGGUACAAGACAAGGGAAAAUGUAUUGGCUGGAGGUGUUUGCCAUUACCAUGGUGGAUAUCCUGUACAGAUUCCUAAAGGAAGGGAUCCUAUAGAUGGGGAUGUUCUUCAGAAGCUCCCAUUUGCAGAUAAAUCUGUGCUGAUUGCAUCAAGCCCUUGGAACACUGCAGAGGCUCUGAAAUGAAAUUCAUGGUGACUCAGAAAAGAUCAGCCAAAGAAUCUGCACAUGAAAACUGAAGAAAUGAAGCAUGCUUAUUGCCUGGUCCAUGAUAUGCCGUUGGAUGGUCCACCCAUUGAACUGGUCCAUAAAUACUUCUAUCUUGAAAAGAUAAUGCAAAUGAACAAUUGGCUACAUACAGAGAUAACCAAUAGGAAGAGAGAAGAUAGUUUUACAUUUGGUGAAACAAAUGGGCAUUUCUCUCUAAGAGGAAAAAAAAGUUAUUUUUUUUAACAUCAGUAAUCUUCCAAGGAUGCUCUAUGACUACAAAUCAUGAACCAUUAGGAAAGAUACAGUUGUAACCAUUUGGUUAUCUGCCUGCCCUAACAACUCACCAGGCUGGAUGGGAACCAAGAAUAGUUAGAGUUCCACAAUGGAUCCUGGGACUAUCGCCUUCUCCGAACACUGGACUUUUAGCCACAAAAACACGGAUUCUCAGAGCCCUGAGAAAGAGAUCUUCGAAUCUGACCAGUAUCUGAAGAAGGAGCCCCCUUCCCUUCACACACACCCCAUCUCAUUUUAACAACGUACCGGAACAGGAAUCCUGCCUGCCUUUGCUUGUUCCUAUCCAGGAACAGGGAAUCCAUCACUUGGAGAAGCAGCCCAUACCAUUUUUGGAAAGGUUAGAAUCUGAAGUUGCCUCUUACCAGAUUCCAGGCAGUUCCUAGUCCUGCCCUCUGCAGUCGAGCAGAAUGAGUCUAACAAAGCCCUUAAACAUUGCUGACCUGCCCCCCCCCCAUCUUUUUUUCAAGUUAAGCAUCCCCUGGCCCUUCAAACAAUCUCCAUGCAGCAUUUUAUCCGGCAACUUCACUGCUUUGAAGACUGUAUCCAUCCCUGCAAAGGCUCCAGAUUCUACCCCUUUAAAGGGUCCAGAUACAAAGAUUUGCUUUAGUACACAUGUAAAGUAAAGUACACAUGCCUCAAACAGGACCUUUCCCCGAUUUGGCUCAUGGGUUCAUGGAAUAAUAGAAAAACCUUCUGUUUGGCUUUUAAAACUCCCUUUAACGUGGCCCCUUUCCUACUUUUCUAAUCUUCUUAUGCCUUACAACCCCGCCCCAACCCCAAUAAUACUCUUAGAUCCAGUGACACUGGUGGCCUCCUUGCUGUUCCUUGCACAAGACACUCUGACUUAUCCUGUAUUUUACUUGUUUGUUCAUAGGUACUCCCCCAUUAGGCCGUGAGCUCCUAAAAAAAUAGCUUUCUCAAAAUCACAUCUCUAUAUAGUAACAAUUUUGAAUUUUCUUAUGAGCUCUUCAUAUUCCAUUUUCUAUUAUAAUUAUUUGUGCACAUGUAUGGUGGCACAAGCAACAUCUUAUUUAUUUUUCUAUUGUUCAUCCACCAUACAAACCUUUUGUAUUGAACUCUCUACUUGGGCCAUACUUAAUAGUGUUUUGCCACAUUAAAUGGAAUUAUAAUAUACUGUCCAAAAAAAAAAUAAAUUGUUUGCUUUUCUUUGCAUCCCAAAUUCUGGGCAUAGUGUUUGGGGAUUGGUGUAAGGGAGACACGAGUCUUGAUGACUUAAUAGAUUUUGAGCUUAAUGGAACUGAAAGGUGAUAUAGUUCAUCCUCCCCAUUUCACAAAGGAAGAAAUGGAAGCCCAGAAAGUGACUUGUCCAAGGUCACAUAGGUAGUAAGCAAAAGAGGCCAAAUUCAAACCCAGGUCCUCAGACUCCCUCUUUCUACUCUACCACAUUGUUGAAGGCCUCAAACGGGGCCAACAAAAUGUCUUUCCAGCUGCCCACAUUGUCAUCCUUCAGUCUACCAGACUUAAUCACAAUAGUAGGACAGGAGUCAGACUCCUCCUCUUCAUCACUUUACUGUCAGGUACUCCUUUCCCUGUGGCCAGGUUGUCACUCACCAGGGCUCUGUCAUAAUCCCCAAAUCAGUUCAUCGGGCCAGGCCUUGGACCAUCAGCAGGGAAGAUUUGCUUUCUCUGGUUCUUGGGGGAGGAAAAAUGUUUCAGAGAAAUAUGACAGAGUUGGGUGGGGAGGGGAUUAAAAUACUCAUAUUAAGAGAGCUUGAGAGGGGGAGAACUGUCAAUCAGUCUCUUGCACCAGUUUCCUCUGUUCAGAAAAAGAAAGAAAAAAACUAGAUCAGCAGAAGCCAGAGGCUACAUUUAAAAACAGUACUGCUGAGCUUGGUAGUAGAAGCAACUCAUCUUCCUAAGGCCUUUGGAACCCAUAAUAGAAUCCAGGAACCUAUUAAGAGCAUUCUGGGAACUCUGCAGAAGGACCCAGUUUGGUAGGAUGGCAAUUACUGGAUUUAGGUUCUGAAGAACUAUUUGAAUCUUGGCUCUGCUUCUUUGGAUCUUUGUAACUUUAGACAAAUCUCUUAACCUUUCUAAACUUUUAAUUCUUCAUCUGUAAAGUGGGGAUCAUAAUAAUUGAUCCACCUUACUAUACGGUUGUGAGAAUCAAGUGAAAUAUGGAAAGUAUUUGGUAGAGAGAUGGGUAAGCUUUUAAACUAUUGAUGUAGGCGGUGAUGGAGAGAAGGAAAAGAUUAAUAUCUCAUUACCAGAUAUCUGUACCACAGAGACCAAAGCAAGAAAGACCCCAAAACACCAGAACACCAAAACAGACAGAAUCCUUUUAGAAGUAGCUGGAAUGGCUCCCCAUCUGCCUGUCGGUGGGGGAAUAGCUAAAUAAAUUGUGGUAUAUGAAUGUCACAAUAUUAUGGUGAAGUUUGAAAUGAUAAAUGUGUGGAACUGAGAGGAACAUGGGAACGCUUGUAUGAACUGAUGCAGAUGGGAGUAAGCAGAACCAGGAGAACAAUAUGUACAAUGACUGGUUGGUCAGUCAUUCAGUUGUGUCCAGCUCUUCAGGAUUGACUUUUGCCCAUAAGGUUUUCUUGGCAAAGAUACUAGAGUGGUUUGCCAUUUCCUUCUCCAAUGUAUCCCCAUUUUACGGAGGAGGAACUGAGGCAAAUAGAGAUUCAGAGACUUGUCCAGGGUCACACAGCUAGUAAGUGUCUUGUGCUUAGACCUUCUUGAUUUCAGGCCUGGUGCACUGUACCUCCUGGAUGUCCCCACAUACAAUGAUUACCAGGAUUCAAAUGAAACAGGAUGGAAGAAACCCCACAAAACAACACACUAGGAGAACACCACACUCUGAAGAGUUGUAAUGACCAGUCUUGGUCCUGAAGAAUCAAACAUGCAACCCUUUCUCUUGAAAGAGAGGUGGCCAGGGGGCAGCUGGGAGGCUAAGUGGAUUGAGAGCCAAGCCUGGAGAUGGGAGGUCCUGGGCUCAAAUAUGGUCUUAGACACUUUCCAGCUGUGUGACCCUGGGCAAGUCAUUUAACCCAUGUUGCCUAGCCCUUAAUGCCCUUCUGUUUUGAAACCAAUACCCAGUAUUGAUUCUAAGACAGAAGGUAAGGGUUUUCAAGGAAAAAAAGAAAAAAAAAGAAAAAGGUGUGCAGGGAUAUAGGUACAGAAUGUAUACGCAUUGUCAGAUGAGGCUACAGUAUUGGAGGGUUUUGUCUCACAACUUAUUGUUGGGGCAGUUAGAUGGUAGUUAGGAGGACCUAGGUUCAAAUUCAACCUCAGAAGUUUACUAGGUACAUGAUCAUGGGCAAGUCAUUAACUCUCUGUCUGCCUCAGACUCCUCAACAGAAAAGAGGGAUAAUAAUAGCACCUGUCUCCCAGGGUUGUUGUGAGGAUCAAAUGGGUCAGCACAGUGAAUGUUUA